rnacentral:lncRNA from 1 species
UUCUUGCCCUUUUGUUGUGUCGCUUGGCUUGAGCCUUCUACCAUGUUUGCAUAUGAUUUAAGGUGAUGUUGAGGCGAUGAGUUGUGUUUAAGUUUUGGGCCACAUGAUCUUGUUUCAGUCCAAAUUUGUGAUUUUUGUUAGUGAGGUAUUCGGUUGAUAAUGGAACCCAAUAGUUGCAGAAAUUUUUCCAGAUUUUCGCAUAUUCUCUCUCUGAUUUUUAUGUUUAAACAUAAGACUCUGUGGUCAAAAAUAGAAAGAUUACUGGAUGAUCUUGUUGUUCUGAUUCAAGUUUGUCGGUUUGGCCAUUUAGUUAUAUUUAGACUGCAUUCAAGAACUCACCAGAAAAUUGAAAUCAACAUUCAAAUUAAAGAAGCAAUAAAAGAAUGCAUUUCCUGUCUUUCGAAUCUGUUGGGGAUAGGUGGUAGCACUUUGGGGGCAAUGGUAACAAUGGGUUGAAGAUCAUAGUGUUAUUCUUGGUUUUGAUGAUCACAAAGUACUUUGAAAUGUUUAUCUAACUCUCUUCAAAUAUAAGUGUUUUUUGCCUAUCAAAGAAUCAGGUACGAAUAUGUCAAGAAAUGAAAAUCAACCAAAAGAAGUAGCAAAAACAGGACACUCAUGUCGGACGUCCAAAGGAAUCUGUCGGACGUCCGAAAGGAUAAAGAACAUCAAGAAGGAAGCUCUGUCGGACGCUCAUAAGGAAGCGUCGGACGUCCGGAAUGAUCGGACGCACGUCUCGGACGCACAUCAACCGCGUCGGACGUCCGAAAAAUUCCAAGAAAACUUGCCAACUCUCUGACGACGAUCGGACGCUGAUACUGUCGGAUGAUAAAAACGCAUCGGACGUCCGAACUACAACUUGGCUGUUUUCGGACGAUAGGUUGGGACGAUGAUUUGGUCGUCGGACGUCCGACAGCCCCAACGGCUAGCUGACUCUUCAUCUGCCUUCUAUCCGUUUGAAGAAUUAAUGAACCCCAUUUUUGGUCCCCUUUAAAAAUAAACUGUUCUGAACCAAGAAGAAAUUUUUGCACACUUUGUUUACAAGAUCUCAAGAGAUUUUUUAGCUUGAAAAUAGUCUCCAAGACAAGAUUUGUUCUCCAAGUGGUGUGAAUUUUUUGUGAGCAUUUCUCUUGUGGUUGAAAGUUUUAUAAGUGUAACUUUUAUUGAGGGUUAUCUGAGUGAUUGUAAAACUUCUUAACUUGACUAAGUGAGGCUUAGGGCAAGGAGGAAGUGCUCCCUCCAUUGUACAUCUAGUUGAUCAUCUUUCAUCAAAAAAAAGUUGCUCAACCUAGUGAUUGGUUUUCAAGUUUGAGGAAAGCUUGGUAGACAAUCGGUUUGAUAAUCUAUCUUAUUCUUUUUGUUUAAUAAAAUUCUCAUUGCUUAUCUAUACUUGUUUUUCUAAUCAACAUUGCUCUCUUCUUCUAAUCUACUUGGUUGAUCAUUACUAGAAAAGAAGGUAAAUUUUUAUUAAAGAAAAAGUGCAUAAAUUUGAUUAAAAUUUUAAUCAACCUAAUUCACCUCCCCUCUUAGGUUGUCUUUGGGCCUUACAAUUGGUAUCAGAGCUUGGUCUCCUAGAGAUUAAGCUCAAGCGGCUUGGAGUAAAGAUGACAACCAGUCAUGCCAUGUUUGUUGAGGGGCAAUCUGUUACUAGGCCUCCCAUGUUUAGUGGCUCCAAUUAUGUUAGUUGGAAAGAAAGGAUGAUUAUCUUUUUGCAAUCUAUUGAUAUUGAACUAUGGUUUAUUGUGAGUGAAGGACCGCAUGAAACUAACUUUCUUGAUGCAGAUACAGGUUUGCAUCGGCCAAAAACGAGAGCUGAAAUGAAUGCUCAAGAUAGGACUAAUCUCACAUUGAAUGCCAAAGCCAUGAAUGUUCUUUAUAGUGCCUUAGAUUCAAAUGAAUCAAUUAGAGUAAAAGGCUGUAAAUCGGUCAAAGAAAUGUGGGAUAAGUUAAGAGAAAUCCAUGAGGGUGGUGACAAUGUGAGAUAACAGAAAAAGGCUAUCUUGGUCACAAAGUAUGAAUCAUUUAAAAUUGAAUCUCUUGAGGAUAUUGAUAAAAUGUAUUGCAGGUUCAAUGACUUGAUCAAAGAUCUCGAGGUGUUGAGCAAAAAGUACACCUUGGGAGAGAAGAACAGGAAAAUUCUCAAUGCAUUGGGCAAAGAAUGGGAAAAUAAAGUGUCUGCAAUAGAUGAGGCUAAGGAUUUAAAUUCUGUGCCUAUUGAAUCUCUCAUUAACUCACUAAUCUCUUAUGAGUUGAAAUUGAAAUCUAAAGUGCAGGAGGAAGAGGAUGCUAGAGCAAAGAGAAACAUUGCUCUAAAGACUACUCAAGGUGAAGAUGAUCCAGCUCACUUGGAUGAUGAAGACUCGGAUGGUGAUGAUAAUGAUCUUGCUCUCAUCACAAGAGGCUUCAAGAGAAUCUUGAAUAAAAGGAAGUUUAGAAGGGGAGGAUCUAGCAAUCAAUUUCAAAAUUAUUCAUCAAAUGCAAAGAACAAAGGAAAACAAGAAUUCAACAAGAAGCAAGUGGACAAAUGCUAUGAAUGUGGACAGCCUGGAUACUAUGCAAACGAAUGCCCCAUGAAGAAAAUGAAAGAUGGGAAAGCUGAUCGAAAGCCAAGAUUCAACAACUUCCAGAUUACUUGGAAUGAAUGCAACUCCGAAGGGGAAGUUGAAGAAGAGGAAGAAUUAGCUCAAAUGGCCUUCAUGGCUAUUGGAGAUAAUGAGGUAACUUCCAUACACUCUCAAUCUGAAAGUGAUGAUGAAGAAGAUGAUGAUCUUGAAUCCUUUGUUGAAAAACUGCAUAAUGCCUUGAAGGAAUCUUAUGAUAAAAACAAGCAGCUAAAACAAAAAAUUGCUUUUCUCAUUCAUGAAAAUGCAAGUCUUCUUCAAAAAAAUAAACAACUAAAGACUGACAAUGAAUGUCUUGUAAGAGCCGGAUUUGAUGUUCAAAAUGAGUUUGAUAGAAAGACAAGUAUUUGUGAAAUGCUGAAGGAAAGACAUGGUGAUUUGAAGAAAAGAAUGGAUAACUUGGAUGAGACUUUGAAAGCAAGAAAGCAAGAUUUUCUCAAAAAGAACAUGUCAUCUACCUUUCUUACUGCUCAUCAAAGAACAUUAGCACACAACAAAAAUGCACAUGAUUUCACAACAUAUAGAAGAAGUGGAUUGAGAUAUGUCAAACCAUUACAUGUUAAGGACUCUUCCAUUAUGUGUGAUUUUUGUUGUCAAGAAGGGCAUUUGAAAGGAGAUUGCUAUGUGAAAAGAAAUUUGAACAAAGGGAUGAGAUGCAUGUGGUUAGUUAGACACAAUGCUAACUAUUGUGGACCCAAAAAUUAAAAAGGGUACCAAACACUUUCUCUUUUCAGGAAAAAUGCUCAAACAAGUCCAAAUGGUUUAUUGAUAGUGGCUGCUCAAGGCAUAUGACCGGUGAUCCCUCUUUGUUCAUAAAGCUAAGAUCAAAAUCAAAUGAAAAGGUGACAUUUGGUGAUGAUGUGAAAGCUAAGACAAUUGGAAUAGGUGAUGUUGGUAAGGAUGGUGAAACUUUUGUUCAUAAUGUGCUCUUAAUUGAUAAUUUAGGUUAUAACUUGCUUAGUGUUAGUCAAUUGUGUGAUGAAGACUUGAAUGUGUUGUUUAAAAAGCAUGAAUGCAUUGUGCUUGAUUCCAAAUACAAUGUUGUGUUCAAAGGUAAGAGAUUUAACGACAUAUAUAUUGUGGUUCUUGAUAAAAUUGAUUCAUCUAACUUCAAAUGCCUUAAAGCUUCAAAUGAAGAUCCUUGGUUGUGGCAUAGGAGACUUUGUCAUUUUAAUAUGGAUUUACUAAAGGAAAUUUUGAAAAAGGAGCUGGUUAGAGGCUUGCCAAAAAUCAGUUUUGAAAAGGAUAAAAUUUGUUAUGCAUGUCAAUUUGGAAAACAAACAAAAGUUUCUUUUAAACCAAAGAAGUGUGUAUCAACUUCUAAACCUUUAGAACUCUUGCAUCUUGACUUAUUUGGUCCUACUCAAAUCACUAGCUUGGGAGGUAAGAAAUACUGCUUUGUGAUUGUGGAUGAUUAUUCUAGAUAUACUUGGGUGAUAUUUCUUGCUCAUAAGGAUGAUGGCUUCAAGAAUUUCACUUCAUUGUUUGCUAAAGUGCAAAAUCUGCUUGGUUUAAAAAUUGUUAGGAUUAGAAGUGAUAAUGGAACGGAAUUCAAGUAUUGUGAUUUUCUAAAAUUUUGUGAUUAUAAUGGCAUAACACAUGAGUUUUCUAUUGCAAGAACUCCACAACAAAAUGGUGUUGUAGAAAGGAAAAAUAGGACACUACAAGAGGCUGCUAGAACUAUGUUAAGUAAAUGUAGUUUGCCAAAAUACCUUUGGGCUGAAGCGGUAAACACUGCAUGUUAUGUGAUGAAUAGAAUCCUUUUGAGACCUAUUUUGAAUAAAACAUCUUAUGAACUGAUUUUUGAUAAGAAACCUACGGUUGGAUAUUUCAAAGUCUUUGGUUGUAAAUGUUUUAUUUUAAAUUUAAAGGAACGUCUUGGUAAGUUUGAGAAAAAAUCUGAUGAAGGAAUAUUUUUGGGAUAUUGUGAGAACAAAAGAGGAUAUAGAGUCUUUAAUAGAAGGACUCUUGUGAUAGAAGAAACCAUACACAUAACAUUUGAUGAAACUAAUGAUGAUAAUUCCAAAAAUUCGUGUGAGGAUGAUGAUGUAGGUGUUCGUGAAGGAAUGGAAAAGCUAAAAAUUGGAGAUGGAGGAAACUCUAAACCGGAAGCAAAGGAAAUGGAGAAUGAAGCUCAUGAAGAUCAAGAAAGGGAAGAUGAGGACAAAAAUGAUGAUUCAUUCAAAGAUCUUCCCAAGGUUUGGAAAUUUAGCCAAAAUCAUCCAAAAGAACUUAUAAUUGGUGAUCCAUCUGAGAAGGUAAACACUCGUUCCUCAUCUAAGAAAUUGAUAGACAAUUUUGCUUUAGUUUCUCUUUUUGAACCUAAAAAUAUCAAUGAUACCUUAAAGGAUGAAAACUGGAUUUUGGCAAUGCAAGAGGAACUCAAUCAAUUUGAAAGAAAUGAGGUUUGGACAUUAGUUGAUAGACCUCAAAAUCACCCUAUCAUUGGCACUAAGUGGGUAUUUAGAAAUAAGCUGGAUGAUAAAGGUGUAGUUGUAAGAAAUAAAGCUAGAUUAGUUGCAAAAGGGUAUGCUCAAGAAGAAGGAAUUGAUUUUGAUGAAACAUUUGCUCCCGUAACUAGAUUAGAAUCAAUUAGAAUGCUUCUCGCUUUUGCUUGCUUCAAGGGUUUUAAACUGUUUCAAAUGGAUGUUAAAAGUGCCUUUUUAAACGGUUUUAUUGAUCAAGAAGUAUAUGUGGAUCAACCCCCCGGUUUUGAAAAUUCAAAAUUUCCAAAUCAUGUGUUUAAACUCUCAAAAGCAUUGUAUGGGCUAAAACAAGCUCCAAGAGCUUGGUAUGAAAGAUUGAAUGGUUUCUUGAUUGAAAAUAAUUUCAAAAGAGGAGUUGUGGACACCACACUGUUUACUAAGCAAGUACUAAAUGAACUCCUUAUUGUGCAAAUAUAUAUAGAUGAUAUUAUUUUUGGUGCUACUAAUGAGUAUCUAUGUAAGGAUUUUUUCACCAUUAUGCAAAGUGAAUUUGAAAUGAGUAUGAUGGGAGAAUUAAUUUCUUCCUUGGACUUUAAAUACAUCAAGCCAUAGAGGGCAUUUUCAUAAAUCAAGCAAAAUACACUAAGGAAUUGCUGAAAAGAUUUGGCAUUGAGGAUUCAAAGCAAGUUGGAACUCCAAUGUGCACUUCAACAAAACUUGACCAAGAUGAAGAAGGUAAACAUGUGGAUGAAAAGCACUAUAGAUGUAUGAUUGGAAGCUUACUUUAUUUAACCGCAAGUAGACCCGAUAUUAUGUUUGUUGUUUGCUUGUGUGCUAGAUUUCAAUCUUGUCCAAAAGAAUCACAUUUGAAUGCUGUUAAAAGAAUUUUUAGGUAUUUGAAAGGUACAUUAGACUAUGGUCUUUGGUAUGCUAGAUCUAGUGAGUUUGCACUAUAUGGAUAUUCGGAUGCUGAUUUUGGAGGUUGUCGUGUGGAUAGAAAGAGUACUAGUGGAACUUGUCACUUUCUUGGUAAUUGCUUAGUCUCUUGGUUUAGCAAGAAACAAAAUGCAAUCUCUUUGUCUACAACCGAAGCGGAAUAUAUUACCGCUAGUGCAUGUUGUGCUCAACUUUUAUGGAUGAAGCAUACCAUGAAUGAUUUUGGAUUGUCAUAUGACUGCAUGCCUAUAUUCUGUGAUAAUGCUAAUGCUAUCAAUUUGACCAAAAAUCCAAUUCAACAUUCUAGGACAAAGCAUAUAGAUAUAAAGCACCACUUUAUUCGCGAUCUUGUUAAAAAAGGUGAAGUAUGUGUAAAUUAUGUUUGUUCUAAAGAUCAAUUUGCUGAUAUUUUUACAAAAGCUUUGCCAUUAGAUUAGUUCACUCAUCUAAGAUCAAAAUUAGGGAUAAUCAAAAAAUCAUCUUAAAAUUUUUCAAAGCCUUCGGACGUCCGAAAGAAGAUGAACGGACGUCCGAUAAUGUUCUUCAGCUAUUUUCCAGAAAACACCUGUUCGGACGAAGCUGUCGGACGCACGACUUUGUUCGGCCAUCAAACAGUGCAACGGUUCACUUUUUAAAGUAACUUUCUUCUUCAUUUGCUUCAAACUCUUCUUCUUCUAUUUCCUCUCGGACGAAAACUCUCUCGUUUCUCACUCUCAAAUUCGUACCAUUCUGAAGCUCUCAUUCCCAAAUUGACUCAACCAAAACUUUUCCUGAUCGAUUGCGAUUCGUUUCUCCUGAUCAUUUCACCGAAUCGCAUAACAUUUCGCAAAUUCCCAAAUUUCACUCAAAACCCUAUUUUCUCAUAACCGCUCUGUCCAAUCUUCUUCAAGGCCUUUUUGUCCCAAAAUUUCUGUGUGAUUCACUUCCAUACUACUGUGUGCAUCAUUUGCAUCCUUCAUUCCACACAUUUCGCACAAUGGUGAAUCUAAGAGGAGGGAAGGUCACUGCCGGACGCAAGCAUCCACUCAGGGAUGAGGAUGAUGAUGUUCCUACGGUCAAACGAUCAUCCAAACGCUUCAAGAGGGGAGCUGUAAAGGGUCAAAUGUCACAGCCUACACCACAACCCACCCCUCAACCUGAAUUUGGACAGGGAACCUCAUCUCAACCGCCUCCAAAAUCAACCACAGUCCCUACAUUCUUUGAUGAUGCUGCAAAAGACAAACACUCCUGGAUAUCCCAGAAAGGUGUCAUCCCUCAACGCACCGUAAAUUCUUCUGAAUUUCGCCAAAUAGGUUUAGAAUCCAUUCUGAGUCUGUUUGCUUUCCAAAAAUGGUCACAUCUCAUUUCUAUGCCUAAUGUCUAUUAUCCUGAAAUGCUGUUUCAAUUUUUUGCCAAUCUUAGGAAAGGCACUGACCAAACUGAGAUUAUGUCCAGGGUUAAUGGGGUAGGCUUAGUUUUUGAUUCUGAAAUUGUGAAUGAUAUUUUAAAAACUACUAUUGAACCUGGAUGCAAGAGUAAAAUUACAAAUUUCUUUUCCUAUGAAGAGCAUCCUACUGCUGAUAAUCAUUUUGAUGGGGCUAAGAUGUUAACUUAUUUUAAAAGAAGUUUUUCUGCCCCUGCUGAUGCUAAACUGAAUGAUCUUGCCCCUGUGAAUCUAACUGCCUUUUCAAUCAUUUCAAACUAGCUUGUGCCUACUGAUGGCCAUAGAACAGAUGCAAACAAAAUGGAGUUGUAUCUCUUUUACUGUUUUCGAGAAAAGAUUCGUAUUGAUUUUGGUUUUGUCAUGUGCAAGUUUUUAUUUCGUUAUGCCACUGAUUCUCGCAGAAAAUUAUCUUAUGAAAAUUUUCUUCAAAAGAUUUUUGAGUUUUACAAAAUACCAAUUCUAGGUGUUUGUCCCAAAGAAGCAUCUUCUUAUGCCUCUACCAAAGGAUAUUUUGAAAGGAAAAAUCUUGUCUUUAAGGAUAACUUAUGGGUUUAUAAGGGGGCAUCAUCUAGUGAACUUAGGUCUAAGGCUGCACAUGAUCCACUACACACUCCUUCAUCUGUUGCACUCACUCCCAUUCAUCCCAGGAAGUCUGCCACUAAGGCAUCUUCCUCCUCCAAUAAUGAAGUGAUUGAGUUCCUUCGUGAACUCAAACAGCAUGUUCUUCUUCUGGAACAUGGUCUAAUGCUCACCAUGUCCUCUGAGCAACAAACAGCCUACCUAGACAAAAAGAACCUUCUUUUUCCCCCACCUGUGAUUGAGGAAGUUUUCCAUGGCAAAGAGCCACGCCCCACUGAUCCAAGUUCAUCAAUUCCAGACCCGAGCUCAUCAACUCCCGUGAUUCCUCAUGGCCCUUCCACAUCAGAUAAAGGCAAGGCACUAGUUGAAGAAGCUGCUGAAGAUGAUGAAGAAACUGAAGAGGAGGACCUCUCCCAAUAUCAGCUUUCUCGAAGGACACCUGGAUCCACCUAGUUCACCAUUUAGGAUCACAUAGGGUCAUUUGCAUUUUGUUUGACUAUUUCAUGUGUUUCUAGUGUUUGUGGUGUUCAACAAUGGAUAUGUAGAUGUAAUGCUUAUGUUUAUGUUGUGUUCGUUUAGUACUUUUUGAUGGAUGAUUAUGGCUGUAAUGGUUAUGGAUAUGUGGAUGGAUGUUUACGUAUUUUGAAUGAUGAAUGUGUGGAUGUGAUAAAUAUUUUUGUUAUUAGUUCUCCGUGAUAUACGUGAUUGAUUGGUCUUUUGUGAUGACAAAAAGGGGGAGAGGUCUGGAUUGGAUUGAUUGAUGAUUUAAUUGAAAUUGAAUUGGCUUGAUGGAUUGAAUUGGUAAAAUGUUGGAUGUUGACUGCUUAAUUGUUAUAUUUUUGGAUAAUUGAUUAAUUCGGUAGGGUAGCCAAGUGAGGGGGAGUUUUUCAAAUUUUUGCUCUAUGAUCCACUAAGUAAGGGGGAGUUUUUGUCAAUUGAGAAAGGGGGAGCUUAUAUUGCAAUCAUCAAAUCUCAUUUCAAACCAUUGUUAUGUCAUCAUCAAAAAGGGGGAGAAUGUUAUUCUUGGUUUUGAUGAUCACAAAGUACUUUGAAAUGUUUAUCUAACUCUCUUCAAAUAUAAGUGUUUUUUGCCUAUCAAAGAAUCAGGUACGAAUAUGUCAAGAAAUGAAAAUUAACCAAAAGAAGUAGCAAAAACAGGACACUCAUGUCGGACGUCCAAAGGAAUCUGUCGGACGUCCGAAAGGAUAAAGAACAUCAAGAAGGAAGCUCUGUCGGACGCUCAUAAGGAAGCGUCGGACGUCCGAAAUGAUCGGACGCACGCCUCGGACGCACAUCAACCACGUCGGACGUCCGAAAAAUUCCAAGAAGACUUGCCAACUCUCUGACGACGAUCGGACGCUGAUACUGUCGGACGACAAAAACGCAUCGGACGUCCGAACUACAACUUGGCUGUUUUCGGACGAUAGGUUCGGACGAUGAUUUGGUCGUCGGACGUCCGACAGCGCCAACGGCUAGCUGACUCUUUAUCUGCUUUCUAUCCGUUGGAAGCAUUAAUGAAACCCAUUUUUGGUCCCCUUUAAAAACAAAUUGUUCUGAACCAAGAAGAAAUUUUUGCACACUUUGUUUACAAGAUCUCAAGAGAUAUUUUAGCUUGAAAAUAGUCUCCAAGACAAGAUUUGUUCUCCAAGUGGUGUGAAUUUCUUGUGAGCAUUUCUCUUGUGAUUGAAAGUUUUAUUAGUGUAACUUUGUUGAGGGUUAUCUGAGUGAUUGUAAAACUUCUUAGUUUGACUAAGUGAGACUUAGAGCAAGGAGGAAGUGCUCCCUCCAUUGUACAUCUAGUUGACCAUCUUUCAUCAAAGAGAAGUUGCUCAACCUAGUGAUUGGUCUUCAAGUUUGAGGAAAGCUUGGUAGACAAUCGGUUUGAUAUUGUAUCUUAUUCUUUUUGUUUAAUAAAAUUCUCAUUGCUUAUCUAUACUUGUUUUUCUAAUCAACAUUGCUCUCUUCUUCUAAUCUACUUGGUUGAUCAUUACUAGAAAAGAAGGUAAAUUUUUAUUAAAGAAAAAGUGCAUAAAUUUGAUUAAAAUUUUAAUCAACCUAAUUCACCGCCCUCUUAGGUUGUCUUUGGGCCUUACACAUAGCAUUGGGGUUUGGUGGGUAAAUCAAUAGGUUCUGUUUGCAUCCCUUUGAAAGAUCAUGUUUCGGUUUUGCAUAAGAAAAUUGCAAAAACUUUGAAAGUACUGUCAUUCGAUGCUUGCUAGAUUUUUUCCGUAUGAAUUUCUGGAGUUUAAACAUAAACUUUUAUGUUGAAAAGUUAAAAGAAAGCUUGGUUAUCUUGUUACCUUGAUCUAAUUGUCAUUGGACGAGACAUGAGCUACAUUUGAAUGAAAAGGAGAUUGCAUCUUAGAACUUAGUUGCAGAAGCUUUUCUCAUGUUAUUUUGCAUGAAGCUGCAUUAGCUUUCAUGUUUUGAUCCCCGCAGCAGCUCACAAAUUGGGUUUCAUCACCUUGUUUGCACAUUUAAUCUUGUGUCAAUGAUGGAUGCCGUCCCUCUGGGUUGUUCACAAACUGUAAAAUCGUAGCAGAAACUCGCAUAAGCAAAGGAAAUUUCGUUUGGCCAAAUGUCUGGAUGCAUGCAUGGAAACGUUAUUAAAAUUUGCAUCUUAACCCCCUAAGUCUCCUUUUAUCUUACAAUGGCCCAAGUAAUGGGAAAAUCAAUCAAAUUGACCCCUCAAACUUUCUUUUUUCCUUUUAAUUGGGUCCUCAUUUGGUGAAUAUGGGCUGUUUAGCUAUUUAAAUGUUUUUAAUGAUUCAAUUUCAUAUUUAUGUGAUUAUUUGCGAUGCCUUGACACUUUCUUUAUUUUUGGAGGGUAAAUAAGUAAUUUCACUCCAUUAGGGUUCCAACUCAAGGGAGGUACACUCUAUCCCUUAUUUUUUACUCUAUUUGACUCUACGUGCCUUAUGUGACUUUACGUGCUUAAUUGCUUGCCUUUUGAGUUAUUUAUAUAUUUAUUUAUUCGCUUUAUUUAUUUUUAAUUUUACAUAUUUAUUUUAGCUCAAUUUUGGUUAUUUAAAAGGCAUUUAAAUGCCAAGUUGUAAUAGUUAGGUUUAUUUUAUUUAUUUGCAUUUCCCCCCGUUAGAUUGUAGUAGGGCCCCCUCAAAUGUAAUAGCUAGGGUUUUAUUUGCUUCCUUUUUGCUUGUGUGAUUUGCAUGCUUACGUGCUAUGUGUUACCGCUUUCUUAGGGUCUUGCAUCUAGAUAUCAUGAUUAUGUGUCAUGUGUUUACGUGAUAUUAUGUGUUUACUCAUUUUAUUAUGUUUUAUGAGAUUAUAAUUAAAUGCAUGUUAUCACACUAGUCCAAUGCUAGCUGUGAUUCCUUUCCCGUCACCACACUAGUCCAACGCUAGUUGUGGCCCCUUUCUCGACUCCACACAAGUCCAAUGCUUGUGAGAGAGCAUUAGUAAGGGCUAGUCCAAUGUUAGACCCUUAGGGACCAUUCAUACGUUAGAUCAUGAUUGUGUGAUUAAAUCACUUCAUCUCAUGCAUGUUUUCACUUUUUAGGGUUUUUACCAUGUUGCAUGACACUUUUCUCAUAUGUGUAUAUCCUCUAUCCCAUAUCCCUUUCUAUUUAUAUCCCCUAUCUCAUAUUCCCUCUUAUAUCUAUGUCCCCUAUUUCUUAUAAUCCUAUGCAUGAAACAUGACAUUAGACUUGCAUUUUUAUUUAAGAAUUAGAACUAGGCUAGUACAUUUGCAUGAUGAGAUUAGGGAAAUUACCCCUUGCGUAUGAGAUAUGAACGAGUUUAGUUUCCUAAUCUUAGCACGCUUGUAUUCCCUUUAUUAAAGGGAACAUUGAAAGUCACGAGUGUAAGUCCCCCGCACCCAUUAUGAUGCAUUCCUUUAGGUCAUACACAUUUGUAUAUUAUUAGUUUCUUUACUUUUUCUUUCUUUAGAGUCUCAUGGUUUGCAUUAUUCGUGACAUUUCCAAAGAUUCUACAUUGGGCAUCACAAUUAAUGUGAUUAGCACCAAUUGAGAUUUGAAAAGAAAUUUCGACCCCUGAUACCAUCUUAAGUCUAGGGUUUGCAUUCAUAUAGUACAUCCAAAUGUGAUAAAUCUUAAGGGUAAAAUAAGAAAAUCUUUGACUAAAUCGCGCAACUAGCCUUGGCUAGGUUGAAAGGGUGCCUUGGAUUUUUAUCCUUGCCUUCCCUUUCUUCAAAUGUAACUCCCGAAUCUUUUUUUCUGAUUUUCGUAGACUUGGAGUCGUUUAAAAAGGAUUUUUCUACUUUUUCUUUAAAAAUUUAUUUUUAGGUGACUUGGUACACCUUAACUCUUUACCAAGUGGCGACUCCAUUUUUCAAACCCUUUUUAAACUAUAUUUUUGGGUCAAAUCGUCGCAUUUUCAAGUCCCAUUUAGACCCAUGUUUUUCAUUCUCUUCUUAAAUCAAAAAUUUAUUUUCCAAUAAAAAAAAAUUGAACCAAAAGCCAUUUUUCUAAACUCGUCUUUUAUUUUCUUAUUUUUAAAAUUGGGGCGCGACAGCUGGCGACUCCACUGGGGACUUAGAGAGUCCAAGCAAAUUUGAUUUAGUAAAUCCUUUUCUUCUUUUAACCUUUUCAUAUAUCGCAUUUUGGAUAUUUAGGGUUGCAUUUUUCCUUUUUUAGGAUUUUUGCAUUUUGCGCGUAUCAAUUCACUCCCUCGCACAUUUACAUACGAUUGAUUUGAUGGAUGAGUGAUUUAUUUAUGUGAUCCCGCGCUUUGCAUUGCAUUUGGGUGGGGAGAAUUUUACCCUAGAACCUCGCGUUGGUUCUCGAUCCCUCCCCUCCAAAUGAAGCACUUCAUACAUGCAUACAUAGUUUUAGUUACCCUAUUUUUCUCUUUAUCGUGGGCGCUAUCUUACAUCUCCCUGUAGGAUUAGGAUCGAUUUCCUUAGGUAGGCGGAUGGUGUGCACUGCUCCCAUAGCGAUGCCUAAGGGAUCACUCGAGCCACCGACCGAAAGCCCUGGGAGUGAUGACCCUUCGCCUUUAGGUCUGAAGGCUUGGGAGCCGAAGCCUUAUCGAGUUUAAAUGCAUUAGUGAGCCAAAUCUCAUGCAUCCAUAUUAGAAUUACCUAGGGUAGAGUCUGACUCACCCUAUUAGGGACACCAUUCACAAGGGGAGGGAUCCAACCCCUCUAUUCCUUUUAUUAUUUUACCUCUUUGUAUUGUUUUGCUACAAAUGUGUUAUAUGUAUUUAUCUGAUUGAACUAACUUUUUUUGGUUUUUGUCUCCAUUGCAUUCAUAAGCCCUAAAAAAUUAGAGUCCUGGCAUGGUACUCUUUAGGAUGCCUACCCUAUUUGAUAUGACACGUUUUAAUUCAAUGUUUCGUAUUGGCAGCAUAAAUACAUUUCAUUUUAGGCUCACCUCGGCAUACAAAAAGGGGUUCCUUUAGGACACGUUUUAUUGGUGUACUGCAUAUUUAGUCACUUUGAUAAACUGGCAUCAUACAUCCACCUUAGAGGGAAUGUCAUUUAGGAGAUCCCUUGUUAGGAAUAAACCGCCCUGUGUUUCGGAUAUUUAAUCCAAUGAGACUUGCACGUUUAUAUUUUUGUACUGUCCGAAGGGGUAGUGCACGAGAUAAGGUAGGAUCCGAUCUUUUUGAAGACGGCAAAGCAAUUUUUUGCACAUUAGAAUAUGAGCAUCUAACAAUCAUCUUUUGGCCAUUUUAAACAAAAUUGGUAAAAAUUCCCUUGCAUAAAGGACAUUAACUUGAAGAAAUUCACAAAUGAUUCCUCACUGUUGAGAGGAUAAAUGUAGAGCCCAAAUCUUGAUUUUAGGAGGCUCAUAAACUAAUGCAUUGCAAUGAUUUUGUAAAACUACUAAUGAGUAGAUGAUUCAAUCGAUUUUUGAAUAAACCAUCAAUUUCAUCCAAUCCAUUUUGUCAAUUCAUUCAAUUUUAGGGCAAUCUAAUCAUUUUUGAAUAAAUCAUUAACUCCGUUUCAAUCAUUUGGCCAAUUUACCCAUUUUUAGGGCAAUCGAGUCGAUUUUGAAGAGAUCAUCAGUUUCAUUCAAUUCAGCUGACCAAUCUGCCUAGUUUUAGGGCAAUUCGGUCGAUUUUGAAUAAAUCAUCAUUUCACUCGAUCUGUUUGGUUAAUUGAUUUCAUACAAUUCAUUUGAUUAGUUUAAUUCAUUUUUAGGGUUAUCCAUUUAAUUUUGAAUAAAUAAUCAAGUUUCAUUCAAUGCAUUUGACCAUUUUACCCUUUUUAAGGUAAUCUAGUCAAUUUUGAAUAAAUCAUCAAUUUCAUCCUAUCCAUUUGACUUGUUUAUUCCCUUUAGGGUUUAAAUUUAAGGUUCACUAAAUAAAUUAGUCAAGACAUUGCCAUCCUUUCAAGAGUAAGCUUUCUUUCACAUAUUAUAUGUUGAUCAAAGCAAGCAAUCCAUUCGGACUUUGUCCUCAUUUUUAGGACAAAUGUCUCUUCUUACUCCAAUUGGUCAAACUUUUUCAUAUUAUUUUUCACUCAAUCAGUGAAUCAGAUUCAUCAGGUAUUGUAUGGUGCCUACCCUAGAGAAUUGCAUUUUCAUGCUAGGCCUACCCUUGGCAUAAAAGGGCUCCCCCAUAGGACAUGCAUACCGAUUUUGUAGUCUUGCCUACUAACUCGAGGUAUUUUUUCUUUUGUUUUCCCCCCUCCCCUGCAUUUAUAAAAAUGCUUCAAUAAGGUAAAGAAUUCUAUAUCUGAUAACAAUUCUGACCUAACAAAGUGUGAAAAUUACAAGUAUUAUUUGAUUCUUGGGCAGAUCUUACAAUGAAAACAUGAAAGAUUCAUCUGAAAGCUCUAGGCUAAAGCCUCUGAGAGACUUUAUAAUUGUUUUUCAAAGGAAAAUUUUGUUUAUUUGAUUUGUUAAUACAUUUUUGUUCCAAAAGAAAGCGAGACAAAAAGUGUAUAUAUGAGGAGUUUUUUAGAAGUUUUCUCUUCUCAUUUGUAUUAUAAUUGAACGAGAAAUUUUGUUUUAAACUUUUUCAGCAAUAAAGUUUUGGACAAUUAUUGUUUUGUGUAUAUUCAUGUAUAUUUCAUUUCAUUCUUUAUUUUGCUCAUUGGAGAUUUCAUGAUGAAUUUUAACAAAUAAGACCAAAUUGAGAAAAUUGACAAGCGUAUGUUUUCUUUGCAUACCCUAGAUUAGUGAUCCAAACUGUAUAAUAAAAGCACUCAGAAUUAAAAGAGGUCACUCAAAAGACCCAAUGAGAUACCUUUUUCCUCCUUCACUGUACAGUUCAUAUUUUGUCCACUUCUAUUAUCCCCAAAAUAAAAUCUGUCACGUUGAUUGAUAAAUUAUAAAUUGGGGCAAUCUUUGUUUGAAAAUGCCCAUUGUGUCUAAUCCGAUUCAAUUCACAUCUAAGUGAAAGCAAAAAUGUGCAUUAUUCUUGUUUGUUUUGAAAUUUUGGAAUGAUAUUUCAAACGUUCGUUUCUCUAUCCAUGCAGCUUUUAUCAUUUGCUCUCCCAUUUGAGUCUUUAAAAGAAUAAUUUCGUUAAAAACCUUAAUGAUCAUUACCCUACAUUGAAAAAUUUUCAAAUAUUAAAAGGGAGUGAAUUUUCAAUGACCAUUUCGUUAUUUUGGUUGUCAUGAGGUGUAAGAAUGAUACUUUGGCCAUCAUUUUUACAACCUAAACACUAUUUAUCUCUUGCAUCCUCAUUUGAGCUAAAAUGGGUGGUUCUUUUCAAAGUACCUAUGAUCGCACCCCAUAUUGGGGAAGGAGAUUGGAGAAUUUUGUGAAAAAGGAAAAAGCUAAAAUGCUAAAAUUAAAGGAGAAGAGAGAGAACCCUAAAUCGGGAAAAUUUGAUUCUACCAUCGAUAUUUGGGCUUCAAUUUUGAAAAGAAGAAAAGAGAAAAAGAGAAGAGAAAGAGUGUCCGGCAAAUCAUCUAUAUGGAUGAACGAGAGUCAUUCUCGGUUAAUUGAUUCAAAUGCAUGCAAAAAAAUUUCGCAUUAAUGAAAAUUUUCCUUUCAGAGUUAAUGUAAGGAACGGAAUAAAAGUCAGGCUCUUUUCUUUUCCAAUCAAAUAUUCUAUCCCUAGUUAUCCUUUUUGAGCCUUCAGAAUAAAUUACUUCGUUUGGCAACCUCUGAGAAUCGCAAACCCCACACUGGGGCAAGUUUGAGUUGAAAAAGAAAUAAAAGUCUCAAGAGAUGAAAAGUGAUAAAGCAACAAAAGCAAAGAAGAAGAAGAAAAGAGAACCUCGGUUGAACAUGAACUGGGACAAAUUUUGAAAAGUUCAAAAGAAUGGCAGAAGGCCAAAAAGAAAAAAGAGAGCAAAAAAUGAAAGGAAAAGACCCUCAAUUGAAAAUAAACUGGAGCAAGUUCUGAUUUAAUCCUAAAAAUAAGGUUGGCGCAAUAAUGCGAUCUCAGGUCAUUCAAACCACUUUUGAAAAUCUGCUUUCAAACCUUAACUUUUCUAAGUAUCUCACCAGACCCAUUACAAAAGUUGAAAGUUCUGACUUCUGUUUCUUUGCAAUAUCUCUGUCAAGAAAUUUUCUAAUUGGCAAGUGAUGCUUGUAUACUGAUGCCAGAAAUUUUUUAAAUGUAUUUCUGAAUUGAUUAGUUAUGAAGUUGACAGUACUCAUCAUCUGAAAAUCCGCCAUGGCACCUUUGAAAAGAAAGGAAAAGCAAAAAGCAAAAAAUAACUGCAAAGGAAAUGGAAAAGAUUUGAUGGUGAAGUCCCCGUUAAGUAAUGACGAAAGUCACCAAAUCUAAAAUCUUUAAAUUCAAAAUAGGGGCAAUUUUAAAAAAAUGCGAUCUACGGUGCAAUGUCCUUGAAAGUUUUAUACUUUAAACUAUUGUUUUCAAGCCGCAUUACAAGCACAUUGUAGACACCAAAUUUUUGGUGUUUUAUUAUUUAUUUAUUUACUAUUCAUUUUUUAUUUGUUCUAUUUUUAUUUGUCACAAUUAGUUUUAUUUACUUUUAGUUUUAGUUAUUUUAGCCAUUUUGGCGUAGAAUUUCUCAAAGAAAAAAGAAAAGCGUUCAAAAAAAAUAUGUUUUAGUUGUUUUAGAUUUAGUUUUCAUUAUUUAAAAAUGAAAAUAAAAAAAAAUGAAAAAUAGGCGAAGAAAAAACAUGGUUUAGGGCAUUUUGGUUUAUUUUUGAAAAAAAGAGGAAAAAGGAAAAAACAAUGAAAAUGGAAAAUGAAAAAGGGGGAAAUGGAAUUUGCACUUUGUUGUUUCUAGUUUAUUUAUUUUUAUCCAUGUUAAUUAAAUCAUUUUUGUUUUUUAUUUUUAUUAUCAAUUUUGUUUUUUUUUUAAACAAAAUUUUACAUGCAAGCUGCGUUUCCGCAGCUUGCAAGGACAGUCGCACAUGACCAUCGGAUGGCUGAGGUGAGGAACGAAGAGCUGGGAUUGAAAAGGACCAUUGAUAUCAGGGUUUUGGGUUUUGGUCAUUGGAUAUAAAAGGAAAAGAGUGAAGAGAGCAUAAGGGGAGAGGUAGAGCAUGAUAGCCGCAAAUCUGGAAAGGAAAGGAAAAGAAAACAGCGACAGAGUAGAGAGCUGGGGAGAGAGCCGAGAGAGAGAGAGCUAAAGAGGGAUAGCUGUAGGGGCCGAGAGAGCAAGGAACAAAAACUGGGGAAAAGGAGGAGGCUAGCGGAUGAAAAGAGAGGCUCGUUGGCGGCUGCUUGAGCGAGAAAAAUCAGAAAGAAACGAGAGGGAGAGUGGAGAGUUUUGUUUCUUCUCAGCCAUAACCGAAAGGUUGCGAGAGAGGAGAGGAUCGGAAAAGAUAGAAAACAUCGUAGGAAAAAAAGGGCUGAGUUUCUGGGGGAGAGCAUACGGGUUGAGAGGAAAAAGAAACAACAGCGGAGGGAAGAAGGAUUGAAAGUGGCGGCUGCAAAUCUGAAAAGAAAGGAGAGCAAAACAGAGAGGGACGACUGCAAAUCUGUGAGGAAAAAGAAAAAGAAAGCAGCGACAGAGAAGGGGUUUUAGAAAGGAACAAAAGAAAGGGUCUUGGAAAGGAAGUGACGGCUGAGAGGUCCUGGGGAAGAAAAAAAGAAAGCAGAGCAAUUGCUGCUCAUCGCCAUCACCGCCUGCAAACCUCCAUAAACACCGCCCGCGAACCUCCAACCGCCAGUCCGCAUUUGCUGUUGCUGCCGUCCGUCGAUCAUCACCCGCACCAUCACCAUCUAGGCUCAAGUUAGCUUCAGAAACCGAGAGCACUGUAAGUUCCUCUCAAACUUUUGAAGCAUGUCUUUCAUGAUUUUGCUUACGGCUAUAUUUCUGUUGGGGUCCUCAUUUUCUGGUUUGGGUUAAAUGUUUUAAGGGCUAGAAUUGAAGAUUUCGGCAGGUUUCAUGGCACUUGGUUAUGUUGUUUAGUUGCAUCUUAUGGAAACACUGAAGUUAAAUCUAUCUAGUUGUAUGUUACUUCGCAUGAUCAUCUUUCGGUCUGUGACUAAAAUUGCAGAAUGUUAUUUCUAUGCUUGCAUGAUCAUCUGUCCGAGUUUCAGAUGUUUAAACAUAAGGUUUUUGUGGCACUUUUUCUUUUUUCUUCUAUUUCUGUUCUGUAUUCCUGAUGGUCAGCUCUGUUUCUCUCUUUCAAACCUUGCCAUGAAACCAUUUUUAGCCGACGAUGGAUAGGUAUCAUUCUGGUUUCUUAUUGAAUUUGUUUGCAUGAUAAAUGGGAGAGAUUGUAGCUGGUUAAUUGCAGAAGCCUGUGCAUGAAGUCUGCUGCAAUGAGCUUAAAGUUUUGGUCCUGUUGCAGCAGCAUGUGCGAAUACCUUUUCUUUUCCUUAGAUGGCCGAAGCUUUGGCUUUGUUUCAAACGCUUGAUUUGGUUUGUAGCUUGACUGAAAUGUCCGGCAACAGCUCUUGAAAUUGGCUUUAGAUAUCCUUUGCUUGUUUCAUUUGGGUGCUGAAGGGAUGAGAGGGAAGGUUUGGUGUUGAUGUUUGUGUGUUUGUUUAAGGAAAAGCUUGAAGCAUGCCAAAUGGUUGCUAGAAAACGCAUUUCAACUUGCCAAACCAGUUUUAUACGUUUUCCAGAUUUUUCAACUUGCCGAAUGCAUUUCAUUUUUUGCACUGGAUCUUGCUGAGUUUUUCUGUUUGUUUGGAUGAUGGUUUGCUGUCUAGUUUAAAGCCUUGUGUUUGGGUUUGAAAUCUGAAUUGGAAAAAACAAGUUUUGUGUUUGGGUUGUUUGUAUGAAUGUGAAUUCAGCCAAAUGAGUAGCAAGCACAGAAACUAUAUUGCUGAGAAUCUCCCUUGCAGAAAUCUUCUUCAUGCAUGCAUGAAAUAAUUCUUCAAAAUUGCCUCUUAACCCCCUCAAGUUUCACCUUAUGCAAUUAUGACCCACAAAAUUGAGAAAACUAAUCAAUUGGGUCCCUGUGAUUUUUGCAGCAAUGCAUUAUGGCCCAAUUACAUUCCAUGUUCUUGCAAUUAGGUCCUAAGAUAUUUGCAUUUGAACCAUUACUUGAUCCUUUCUUGGCUCUUGGAUCCUUUGAGUUCUUCAAUGUUUCAAUUAGAUUCGAAUGGUUAAUUAAUGUUUGCAAUUGGGUCUUUAGUUUUUUUUUUCUAUUUUAGAAUUUUGAUUAAUGAAUCAUUUUUGCUUAGAAUUCGUGCAUUAUUUGAUCCUUUCUAAGUUGCAAAUUGAGGAAGGGUUCGAUGUUUGAUGGAUUCCGAUUGUCUUAUUUACGUUCUAUCAUUAAAUUGGUGCAUUAAUCCUUUGCUUUGAAUGGUUUUAGCCCAAGUUAUCCCGUUAAUUGGUGACUUUAGCCCAAUUUAAGUCUUGUCCACUUUAUUAGCACCACAAAAGGGGAAGGUAUAAUCUCUUUUAUCUUUUUGUCUCUCCUAUGUGAUCCAACGUGCUAAGUGAGAAGUGCAUGUCUAAUUUGCUUUCCUUGCUUUUCUUUAGUUCCUUUAUUUUAUUUACUUUUGCUUUUAAUUAAGUUAUUCUUUUAUGGGGUAUGUGUACACCUCUUGGCUUGUAAUAGAUAGGGCUUGGAGGAGCAUUUGAUGAAGACCUAUUGAAGACGUGUGCCUAGCUAGCAAAUGUAAUAGGUCUAUUAGCUUGGUUGCUUGCUUUUGUUGCUAUGUGUUAAUUUGCUUUAUUAGGUUCUUGCAUCUAGUCGAGCAUGCUAAGUGUUAUGUGCUAUGUGUUUAUGAGUGAUUGACAUGUCUACUCUCUUUUCAUAGCCAUGAAUGAAUGUGAUGGAUGAAUGUACGUUUCCACUAGUCCAACGCUAGUAGGAAUUCAUAGAAUGGGCUAGUCCAACGCUAGACCCAAUAGGCCGUCCCCCUUUUUGUUAAUGCAUAUUUGCAUGUUCACUACAUUUCAUGCAUUUUUCUUAGUUUUUAUCAUUUGGCAUGCUCCUCCAAUCCUUUUCCCCUCAUUCUAGGCUUUUUGCAUUCUCAUGCUAGUUAUAGGGUACAUUUGCUUGACGAGUCCCCUUUCGAUAAGGGAAACGAGCGAGUUUGGCUACAAAAUAGCCUUAGCACGCUAGUUCUUCCUUCUAAUCCAAGGAAAAAUUAAAGUCCCAAAGUUAGGACUCCCCGU